GUCUAGGACCAUAUCACCCUGAAAAUGCCGAUUUCAUCUGAUCUUGGAAGCUAAGCAGAGAUAGGUCUGGUUAGUGCUUGGAUGGGAGACCAUCUGGGAAUAUACCAUGUGCUGUAGGCU
ensembl:rRNA 5S_rRNA 5S ribosomal RNA